AGCCAAAGUAUUCCAAUUCUAAAUUAAUUUAUAACAUAAAUAAAUAGCCAAUCGUUAAGCAAACAUUAGACCCAGGCCAAACCGAAUUUUGAAAAAAUAAAUACUUUGAGAUUUAAUUCCCUUCUUCACUUUUCUCAUGGGAUUUUUUCGUUAAAUUAUUCGCUUUUUCGUGACCCAAGUGCAUUCUAGUCUGUGACGAUGUGCGACUCAAAGACCGAGAUCAUCUGGAAAUAUGCAUUCCGACAAAGAGUACAAAAUACUUAUGUAUGUACAACUAUGCAUCAGCCAAGAUUUUCCUGAUCGAGAGCGCAACAUCAUUUUUUCAGCGUCUCCAUCACCAAAAUUGGUACGUUCAUGAAUUCCGAGCACAUCAAUCGACCUGGAACGAUAUGAGAUUCAAACCGGAAGACUUCACACGCAAUUAAAGAUAAUAAUUAAAUUUUACAAUAAUUUUAAAAUGGACAGAAUUUACAUAAAUAGAGAAUUCCUCCCAUCUGA